AGAAUCUGCAGUGUUUGUUCAGGCUGCAGUUGGAGAAUCAGCUGUGAUUAACAAGAGACCAAAGCCACUAACCAACCAAUACUUUUGUUUUGCUGGGACAAUAGGUGCUGGUCAGCUGGGGCUGAAGAGCCGUCUGUGACUGAGAAAUGUGAGGUGAAAUCUUUUGAGAAGUAUUUCCUCAGCAUCAGACUGUGGGAGCUGGGUUCAGAGGUGGCCAAGGUUUUUACCUCGUGCUGGUGGCCAAACCCGGUCAUGUGCAAGAGCCUCCCAGGUGGUCCUGGUUUUGAAGACAUGAAGGGGUCAUAGAGGGCAGCUGAGGCUUGAUUCCAUGAGAGGCCACUGGUGAAGGUACAGAUGGAGUAGCAGUGGAAGCCCCAGAACUGAAAGGGUCAUGCAGAGAAGUUGAAGGCUGGCACCAUGAAGAGAGCCCAAGAGAUGCCUAUUGGUGAAAGUACAACUCAGUUACUGUAAAUGACCCUAGAAUUUGGGGGAUGCCAGUACCAUGGGAUGGCCAACAAGAACACCAGCAGCAGUGAAGUGGAGCCAGCCAGAACCUAGAUAAGGAGCUAUAUGUGCUACGGAAGGAGGAACUAGAGAUGUGGCCUAAGUCCCAUGGAGGAGCC
rnacentral:lncRNA from 1 species